AUUUGGAUGAGAAAGUUCUUCAUAAUACUUUGAUAGAAAUUCAUCUUCACCGGGAUAAAAAUCAUGGAUUUUAUUGAGAGUCUUAUUGAUAAUACAUCCUAAAAUUUUCAGUAUUCUAAGUUUGUGGAAUAAUUGAGCCAUCUAGAUUUUCAAUUAUGUAUGCUCCUGAAUGAAUUACUUUAGUAAUUCGGUAGGAUCCUUCCUAAUUAGGAGCGAGCUUUUCUUGUUCGGAUGGUUUUGAGAUUUCA
rnacentral:lncRNA from 1 species